rnacentral:rRNA from 1 species
AGAGUUUGAUCCUGGCUCAGGACGAACGCUGGCGGCGUGCCUAAUACAUGCAAGUAGAACGCUGAAGUCUGGUGCUUGCACUAGACGGAUGAGUUGCGAACGGGUGAGUAACGCGUAGGUAACCUGCCUCAUAGCGGGGGAUAACUAUUGGAAACGAUAGCUAAUACCGCAUAACAGUAUUUACUGCAUGGUAGAUACUUGAAAGGAGCAAUUGCUUCACUAUGAGAUGGACCUGCGUUGUAUUAGCUAGUUGGUGAGGUAACGGCUCACCAAGGCAUCGAUACAUAGCCGACCUGAGAGGGUGAUCGGCCACACUGGGACUGAGACACGGCCCAGACUCCUACGGGAGGCAGCAGUAGGGAAUCUUCGGCAAUGGGGGCAACCCUGACCGAGCAACGCCGCGUGAGUGAAGAAGGUUUUCGGAUCGUAAAGCUCUGUUGUAAGAGAAGAACUGUGAGAAGAGUGGAAAGUUUCUCACUUGACGGUAUCUUACCAGAAAGGGACGGCUAACUACGUGCCAGCAGCCGCGGUAAUACGUAGGUCCCGAGCGUUGUCCGGAUUUAUUGGGCGUAAAGCGAGCGCAGGCGGUUUGAUAAGUCUGAAGUAAAAGGCUGUGGCUUAACCAUAGUACGCUUUGGAAACUGUCAAACUUGAGUGCAGAAGGGGAGAGUGGAAUUCCAUGUGUAGCGGUGAAAUGCGUAGAUAUAUGGAGGAACACCGGUGGCGAAAGCGGCUCUCUGGUCUGUAACUGACGCUGAGGCUCGAAAGCGUGGGGAGCGAACAGGAUUAGAUACCCUGGUAGUCCACGCCGUAAACGAUGAGUGCUAGGUGUUGGGUCCUUUCCGGGACUCAGUGCCGCAGCUAACGCAUUAAGCACUCCGCCUGGGGAGUACGACCGCAAGGUUGAAACUCAAAGGAAUUGACGGGGGCCCGCACAAGCGGUGGAGCAUGUGGUUUAAUUCGAAGCAACGCGAAGAACCUUACCAGGUCUUGACAUCCCGAUGACCGCCCUAGAGAUAGGGUUUCUCUUCGGAGCAUCGGUGACAGGUGGUGCAUGGUUGUCGUCAGCUCGUGUCGUGAGAUGUUGGGUUAAGUCCCGCAACGAGCGCAACCCCUAUUGUUAGUUGCCAUCAUUCAGUUGGGCACUCUAGCGAGACUGCCGGUAAUAAACCGGAGGAAGGUGGGGAUGACGUCAAAUCAUCAUGCCCCUUAUGACCUGGGCUACACACGUGCUACAAUGGCUGGUACAACGAGUCGCAAGUCGGUGACGGCAAGCUAAUCUCUUAAAGCCAGUCUCAGUUCGGAUUGUAGGCUGCAACUCGCCUACAUGAAGUCGGAAUCGCUAGUAAUCGCGGAUCAGCACGCCGCGGUGAAUACGUUCCCGGGCCUUGUACACACCGCCCGUCACACCACGAGAGUUUGUAACACCCGAAGUCGGUGAGGUAACCUUUUAGGAGCCAGCCGCCUAAGGUGGGAUAGAUGAUUGGGGUGAAGUCGUAACAAGGUAGCCGUAUCGGAAGGUGCGGCUGGAUCACCU